rnacentral:rRNA from 1 species
CAGUAGCCGCGGGAAUACGAAGGGUGCAAGCGUUACUCGGAAUUACUGGGCGUAAAGCGUGCGUAGGUGGUGGUUUAAGUCCGUUGUGAAAGCCCUGGGCUCAACCUGGGAAUUGCAGUGGAUACUGGGUCACUAGAGUGUGGUAGAGGAUAGUGGAAUUUCCGGUGUAGCAGUGAAAUGCGUAGAGAUCGGAAGGAACAUCUGUGGCGAAGGCGACUAUCUGGGCCAACACUGACACUGAGGCACGAAAGCGUGGGGAGCAAACAGGAUUAGAUACCCGUGUAGUCCCUGUCUCUUAUCA